UUUUAUUUGGUAUGUGUUACCAU
rnacentral:snRNA from 1 species